rnacentral:rRNA from 1 species
GUCCACAGCCAUGCCACCCUGAAUAAGCCCGAUGUCUGACCUUGGAAGUUAAGCAGGGUCGGGCCUGGUUAGUACUUGGAUGGGAGACCACCAAGGAAGAGCAGAUGCUGUAGGCA